rnacentral:rRNA from 1 species
AUUGAACGCUGGCGGCAGGCCUAACACAUGCAAGUCGAACGAGUGGCGGACGGGUGAGUAAUGUAUGGGAAACUGCCCUAUGGAGGGGGAUAACUACUGGAAACGGUAGAUAAUACCGCAUACCAUCGGAUGUGCCCAGAUGGGAUUAGCGCGUAGGUGGGGUCACGGCUCACCUAGGCGAAGAUCCCUAGCUGGUCUGAGAGGAUGACCACCCACACUGGAACUGAGACACGGUCCAGACUCUGACGGGGGGCAGGAGUGGGGAAUAUUUCACAAUGGGCGCAAGCCUGAUGCAGCCCUGCCGCGUGUAUGAAGAAGGCCUUCGGGUUGUAAAGUACUUUCAGCGGGGAGGCGUUACUCGCAGAAGAAGCACCGGCUAACUCCGUGCCAGCAGCCGCGGUAAUUC